AGCAGCCGCGGUAAUUCCAGCUCCAAUAGCGUAUAUUAAAGUUGUUGCAGUUAAAAAGCUCGUAGUUGAAUUUCGGGGUUAGUAAGUUGGUCAUGCCUUUGGUAUGCACUGGCUUUACUGAUUCCUCCUUCUUGACGAACCGUGAUGUCAUUAAUUUGGUGUUGCGGGAAAUCAGGACUGUCACUUUGAAAAAAUUAGAGUGUUUAAAGCAGGCUAACGCUUGAAUACAUUAGCAUGGAAUAAUGAAAUAGGACGUUAAUCCUAUUUUGUUGGUUUCUAGGAUCGACGUAAUGAUUAAUAGGGAUAGUUGGGGGCAUUAGUAUUCAAUUGUCAGAGGUGAAAUUCUUGGAUUUAUUGAAGACUAACUACUGCGAAAGCAUUUGCCAAGGAUGUUUUCAUUAAUCAAGAACGAAAGCUAGGGGAUCGAAGACGAUCAGAUACCGUCGUAGUCUUAACCAUAAACUAUGCCGACUAGGGAUCGGAUGAUGUCAAUUUAAUGACUCA
rnacentral:rRNA from 1 species